UGAUGAGCUGUUCCAAGUUCAGGAUGGGGAGACUCUGCAGUCAGAAGAGGUCAGCUAUGUGCAGAACCAAGGAGGUUACAACAAAGGUUUCAACAACUUCAAGCAGAACCAUCCCAAUCUGUCUUACAA
rnacentral:sRNA from 1 species